GAAAUCAUAUUGUCCUCUACUCAAGAAGGCUAGUAAAAAAUUCAGAAAAUCUUAAAAAAAGAAAGCUUAUGUAGCAUGGAAAGAUUGAUAAGGAAUCCUCAGAUGAUGAAUAAGAAAAAGAAAGCAUUUGUCUAAGGGAAAAUCACCAAGAUGACAUGGUAACCUCUCACUUCUCCUAUCAUGACUUAUUUAGAAUCUGUAAAAAAAACUAACAAAAGAAACAAACAAGAUAGAAA
rnacentral:lncRNA from 1 species